UUCUGAAUGAGUGCAGAUAUAAUCAUACAGAAUGUAAAUGUGUUAAAGACAGAAUAAUAAUAUAAAGUAUAUUUACCUGAAUGACAGGAGAGAGAUGAGUU